rnacentral:rRNA from 1 species
AUGCAGCAGCCGCAGCAGCACCACCAUCACAAGCCCAAGCCGUCCCUCUCCGGCAGCCUGUCGUGGAUCCGGAGGUCCCCGCCGCCGUCGCCGCCGCACAGGAAGCCCUGGGGCGCCGGCGGCGGCAGGGGCCGCUACGCCUGCCGCGCCGUGCCGCUGCUCGUGCUCACCGUCUACAGCCUCUUCACCGUGCUCCGCAUCCCCAGCUCCUCCCUCGUCGUCAACACCGCCGAUUCAGAGCGCGUGGACCGGCGGGAGGAUGUGGAGGCGUUCAAGACCCACCUGCCGUCGAACCAGAACGGCCUCGAGGCCCGCCAGGAGACCCGCUCUCCGGCGUCCCUCCCGUGCUCCGCCUUCAUCAGCGGCGAGGCGGGCGGCGGGCCGGCGAAGGAGGGCGUGCUGUGCUGUGACCGGAGCCACUACCGCAGCGACGUGUGCUACCUCCGCGGCGACGCGCGCACGGACCCGUCCACCUCGUCGGUGCUCCUCUACAACGCGCCCCGCGGCGCCGCGCCGGAGAAGGUGCGGCCGUACACGCGCAAGUUCGAGGAGAGCAUCAUGCGGUCCAUCGACGAGGUGACCAUCGUGCCCGUUCCCGCGGACGCCGGCAACGGCACCGCCGGCAAGGACCCGAGGGACAGCCUGCGGCGGCGGUGCGACGUGCGGCACCCGCCGGGCGUGCCGGCGGUGGUGUUCUCGACGGGCGGGUACACGGGGAACGUGUACCACGAGUUCAGCGACGGGCUGAUCCCGCUGUUCGUGACGGCGGAGCGGUUCGGCGGCGAGGUGGUGUUCGUGGUGCUGGAGUACCACUACUGGUGGCUGGGCCGGUACGGCGCCAUCCUGGAGCGGCUGACCAACUACAAGAUCAUCGACUUCCGGUACGACCGCCGCGUGCACUGCUUCUCGGAGAUGAUCGUCGGCCUCCGCAUCCACGGCGAGCUCGUCGUCGACCCCAAGCUGAUGCCCAACGGCAAGAGCAUCAAGGACUUCCAGGCGCUCCUCCACCAGGGCUACAGCGGGAAGCCGUCCGCGGCGUCGUCGGCGCCGCUGCCGCUCCCUCUCGCGACGCCGGCCCGGCCGUGCGUCGACCACGCCAAGGCCGCCAAGCCCAAGAUGCUCAUCUUCAUCCGCAAGCAGAACCGGGUGAUCCUCAACCUGCCGCACGUGGUCACCGCCUGCCGCCGCGCCGGCUUCGCGCCGCACGUCAUGAACCUCCGGCGCCAGACGCCGCUCCCGGUCAUCCACGCGGCGCUCGCCUCGGCCGACGCCAUGGUGGCCGUGCACGGCGCGGCGGUCACCCACUUCCUCUUCAUGCGGCCCGGGACGGUGCUCCUCCAGAUCGUGCCCGUGGGGCUCGACUGGGCCGCCGAGUCCUUCUACGGCAAGCCGGCGCAGCAGCUCGGGCUGGAGUACCUGGAGUACCGGGUGGCGCCCGAGGAGAGCUCCCUGGCCGCCGAGUACGGGCUCAACAGCACCGUGGUGCAGGACCCCUCCGUCAUCAGCAGCCAGGGCUGGUGGGAGAUGAAGAAGGUGUACAUGGACCGGCAGAACGUGACCGUCAGCAUCAAGAGGUUCGGCGAGCUGCUCCGGGCGGCCAAGCUGCACCUCAAGAAGAACGCCACCGCGUGCGGCGGCAAGGCCGCCGGCGCGAGCCACGCGGCGGUGAGGUAG